rnacentral:tRNA from 1 species
UGCGGUGUAGCUCAGUGGUAAAGAACUUGCCUAGCAUAUAAGAGACCCUGGGUUCAGUCCCCAGCAACACAC